AUUGAACGCUGGCGGCAUGCCUUACACAUGCAAGUCGAACGGCAGCACGGGAGCAAUCCUGGUGGCGAGUGGCGAACGGGUGAGUAAUAUAUCGGAACGUGCCCAGUCGUGGGGGAUAACGUAGCGAAAGCUACGCUAAUACCGCAUACGAUCUAUGGAUGAAAGCGGGGGAUCGCAAGACCUCGCGCGAUUGGAGCGGCCGAUAUCAGAUUAGGUAGUUGGUGGGGUAAAAGCCUACCAAGCCUUCGAUCUGUAGCUGGUCUGAGAGGACGACCAGCCACACUGGAACUGAGACACGGUCCAGACUCCUACGGGAGGCAGCAGUGGGGAAUUUUGGUACAAUGGGCGGCAAGCCUGAUCCAGCAAUGCCGCGUGCAGGAUGAAGGCCUCGGUU
rnacentral:rRNA from 1 species